GCUGGGUGCAGUGGCUCACACCUGUAAUCCAAGCACUGUGGGAGGCUGAGACAGGAGAAUCGCUUGAGGCCAGGAGUUCAAGACCAGCCUGGGCAACAUAGCGAGAUCCUGUCUCUA
rnacentral:SRP_RNA from 1 species